UACGGAGGGUGCAAACGUUAUCCGGAAUCACUGGGCGUAAAGAGCAUGUAGGUGGUUUGGUAAGUGGACGAUUAAAGACCAGUGCUUAACACUGGGAAUGUUGUCUAUACUGCCUUACUUGAGGAAGACAGGGGUAAGCGGAACUUUAGGUGUAGGGGUGAAAUCCGUAGAUAUCUAAAGGAACACCAAUGGCGAAGGCAGCUUACUGGGUCUUAUCUGACACUGAGAUGCGAAAGCGUGGGGAGCGAACGGG
rnacentral:rRNA from 1 species